rnacentral:rRNA from 1 species
GAUGAACGCUGGCGGCGUGCUUAACACAUGCAAGUCGAACGAAGCACUUUAUUUGAUUUCCUUCGGGACUGAUUAUUUUGUGACUGAGUGGCGGACGGGUGAGUAACGCGUGGGUAACCUGCCUUGUACAGGGGGAUAACAGUUGGAAACGGCUGCUAAUACCGCAUAAGCGCACAGCAUCGCAUGAUGCAGUGUGAAAAACUCCGGUGGUAUAAGAUGGACCCGCGUUGGAUUAGCUAGUUGGUGAGGUAACGGCCCACCAAGGCGACGAUCCAUAGCCGACCUGAGAGGGUGACCGGCCACAUUGGGACUGAGACACGGCCCAAACUCCUACGGGAGGCAGCAGUGGGGAAUAUUGCACAAUGGGCGAAAGCCUGAUGCAGCGACGCCGCGUGAGCGAAGAAGUAUUUCGGUAUGUAAAGCUCUAUCAGCAGGGAAGAUAAUGACGGUACCUGACUAAGAAGCACCGGCUAAAUACGUGCCAGCAGCCGCGGUAAUACGUAUGGUGCAAGCGUUAUCCGGAUUUACUGGGUGUAAAGGGAGCGCAGGCGGUGCGGCAAGUCUGAUGUGAAAGCCCGGGGCUCAACCCCGGUACUGCAUUGGAAACUGUCGUACUAGAGUGUCGGAGGGGUAAGCGGAAUUCCUAGUGUAGCGGUGAAAUGCGUAGAUAUUAGGAGGAACACCAGUGGCGGAGGCGGCUUACUGGACGAUAACUGACGCUGAGGCUCGAAAGCGUGGGGAGCAAACAGGAUUAGAUACCCUGGUAGUCCACGCCGUAAAC